GUAGUACUUCCUCCGUUUCACUUUCUAGCAUUUCCCAUAUUCAUAUUGAUGCUAAUGAAUCUAGACAUAUAUAUCUCUCUAGAUUCAUUAACAUCAAUAUGAAUGUGGGAAAUGCUAGAAUGACUUACAUUAUGAAACGG
rnacentral:misc_RNA from 1 species